AUGGGCUCCUGGGCCCUUGUACUGGCAGAUUUCAUCCCUCUUCUUCCUGGGCAGCAGCUGAAUCUUGCAGGGAAGCUGCACUCUGCUGCUCUGCUGCCUGGUACUGGGAGCCUUGCUAAGACCACUCAGCCCAUCUCCAUGGACUCCUAUGAGGGACAAGAGGUGAACUUGUCCUGUAUCCACCCCAACAUCGCUACAAAUGAGAACAUCAUCUGGUACCGACAAGCCCACCUCCAGGGACCACAGUUUGUUAUUCAAGGGUAUAAGACAGACGUGGCCAAUGGAGUGGCAUCUCUGUUUAUCCCUAAAGACAGGAAGUCCAGCACCCUGAGCCUGCCCCGGGUUGCUCUGAGAGACACUGCUGUCUACUACUGCAUCGUGGCUGAUGCACAGUGAGUCAUCUGGCCCUGCACCUGUGCAGUAUCCUGCUGUUAGGUGACAGUCAUGCCCAG